GUCAACGCAGAGUUCUCGGAUGACCAUCCAGGACCCUUAAAUUACAUCAAACUUAUAAUAGAAUAUGUACCAAUAGAAUUGAAUAUAAAUUAUUCAGUAUUAUUACUUUUAUGUACACGAAAAUUUUUGGAAUGUUUGCAGUUAGUCGGUACGUUAGCCGAUACGUUAGUCAAACCGUUAACUGAUGCCGUAGAAGACACAGUAGGUGGCCUAGGAAGAAAAUAAGUAAAAUGUCUUUAAAUAAAAACGAAAAAAAUGUUAUGUGGGACAACUUCCAUUGUUGACACAUAAUAAUGCACUGUUAUUAAACAUUCUACCUAUGAAAAAAUGCACCCACUACCAUCUUUACUACUAUUACAUAAUUCUUAAAUGCACUGUUUCUUUCUAAACAUGCUGAAUAUUAAAAUGUUGCAUGUAUUUUGCACCUGAAAUAAAUAUAUAAUAUAUCAAGCAAUUAAA